AAGUCGUAACAAGGUCUCCGUAGGUGAACCUGCGGAGGGAUCAUUAACACGUAUCCAUGUAUUAACCAAUGUGAACUAUUAUUGCGUAAGAAAAAAAGAAUUAGAAUUUUUAUUAAUUCUAUUUUUUUUUUUCGAAACCAUUUUUUAACCAAUUGUCACAAAAAAUGAAAUGAUGAAAAACUUAUAAAGACUUAUUUUUUAAUAGUUAUUUUAUAUAACUAUUUUUCUUACGAAAAAUUAGAACAACUCUUAACAACGGAUAUCUUGGUUCUC
rnacentral:misc_RNA from 1 species